ensembl:lncRNA
CCACAACCAAAAUCUACUGGAAAGUCUUCCCAGAAGCACACAUGGGUGUGACGGUCAGGUGUCCACAAACUUUUGGUCAUGUAGUUUAAUUGUUAGUCUGAUGUUAGAUAACUUGUUAGCAUACCUGGUUACUGGUUUACACUACAUUAUAUUUAGCCUAAUAUUAUAUAACUUGACAGUGCCUCUGUUAUUACUUUGCCUAAAGCAGUGGUCACCAACCCUCUUCCUUGAGAUGUACCUUCCCGCGGGUUUCGUCUCCAACCAAAUUCUAACACACCUGUUUUAUCUGACCAAGAAAGGCAAUGAUUAAAUGGUCAGGUGGGCACGAUUAUGCUUGGAGCUAAAGUCUUCAGGGAGGUAGAUCUCCAGGAACAGUGUUGGUGACCACUGGCCUAAAGCAUGAUUAUUUUAUGGCUUUUUUUCCUAUCAGUUGUAUUCAUUGUUAGAUACAGGUAACCCAUCUCACAUUAAGACCUGUACCUGUGUACAAAAAUAUGGGACAAAUCGCAGCAUUAUAUUUUUCAAUACAGCACAACAGGCGUGGCAACCCUAUGUCAGGUUUGGAAACAUUUGCUCAACACUGUUGUAUUUAAAAGUCAAAAUGUAAAACUUUACAGAGUCUGUACAGAGCAAGGCUGAAAUGUGUGGUGCGGAUCUGUUGAAAACAGAUUUAAGGUACAGAGUGAUGAAAGAAUAACUACAAGUAUUUAAAGU